rnacentral:rRNA from 1 species
UACGUAGGGGGCAAGCGUUGUCCGGAUUUAUUGGGCGUAAAGAGCUCGUAGGUGGUUCGGUAAGUCGGAUGUGAAAUCUCCAGGCUCAACCUGGAGGGGUCAUUCGAUACUGCCGUGACUAGAGUUCGGUAGGGGAGUGUGGAAUUCCUGGUGGAGCGGUGAAAUGCGCAGAUAUCAGGAGGAACACCAAUGGCGAAGGCAGCUCUCUGGGACGGUACUGACGCUGAGACGCGAAAGCGUGGGGAGCGAACAGG